rnacentral:lncRNA from 1 species
CUUCUGUUGGUCUUUUGUAAGAGAUGAUGUGAGAAAAGUUGGCUUCAUCCAAAUUAGUAGCAAUCAUGUCAAAAGCCUUCUUAUCACGUCUUGCAAAGUCCUUCUUCUCAUUAGCAUUAGCAUACAUGCUUGGAGGCUCUUCAAUUUCAUCUAUAAUGUUCCAAAGGUCAAAAGAUACCAACAAAAGUUCCAUUUUUAUCUUCUAAUGGUAGAAAUUGUCACCUUCUAACUUUUCAAUCACUCUCAAACCUUCACCCUCACUAGAAGCCAUGUCUAAGAACAAGUCUAUCAAAAAAUAUCAAAAAAAGGAAUC